GACGAACCGAGCGAACGUUAUUCGGAAUCACUGGGCUUAAAGGGCGCGUAGGCGGGCCGUCAAGUCAGGGGUGAAAGCCUCCAGCUCAACUGGAGAAGUGCCUCUGAUACUGGCGGCCUCGAGCGAGGUAGGGGCGUGCGGAACUUCCGGUGGAGCGGUGAAAUGCGUAGAUAUCGGAAGGAACAUCGGUGGCGAAAGCGGCGCGCUGGACCUCUUCUGACGCUGAGGCGCGAAAGCCAGGGGAGCGAACGGG
rnacentral:rRNA from 1 species